rnacentral:rRNA from 1 species
GUAGGUGGCAAGCGUUGUCCGGAAUUAUUGGGCGGUAAAGCGCGCGCAGGCGGUUCUUUAAGUCUGAUGUGAAAGCCCGCGGCUCAACCGUGGAGGGUCAUUGGAAACUGGAGAACUUGAGUACAGAAGAGGAAAGCGGAAUUCCACGUGUAGCGGUGAAAUGCGUAGAGAUGUGGAGGAACACCAGUGGCGAAGGCGGCUUUCUGGUCUGUAACUGACGCUGAGGCGCGAAAGCGUGGGGAGCAAACAGGGAUUAGAUACCCUGGUAGUCCACGCCGUAAACGAUGAGUGCUAAGUGUUAGGGGGGUUUCCGCCCCCUUAGUGCUGCAGCUAACGCAUUAAGCACUCCGCCUGGGGAGUACGGCCGCAAGGCUG